rnacentral:rRNA from 1 species
AUUGAACGCUGGCGGCAUGCCUUACACAUGCAAGUCGAUCGGCAGCACGGGUGCUUGCACCUGGUGGCGAGUGGCGAACGGGUGAGUAAUACAUCGGAACAUGUCCUGUAGUGGGGGAUAGCCCGGCGAAAGCCGGAUUAAUACCGCAUACGAUCCACGGAUGAAAGCGGGGGACCUUCGGGCCUCGCGCUAUAGGGUUGGCCGAUGGCUGAUUAGCUAGUUGGUGGGGUAAAGGCCUACCAAGGCGACGAUCAGUAGCUGGUCUGAGAGGACGACCAGCCACACUGGGACUGAGACACGGCCCAGACUCCUACGGGAGGCAGCAGUGGGGAAUUUUGGACAAUGGGCGAAAGCCUGAUCCAGCAAUGCCGCGUGUGUGAAGAAGGCCUUCGGGUUGUAAAGCACUUUUGUCCGGAAAGAAAUCCUUGACUCUAAUACAGUCGGGGGAUGUCGGUACCGGAAGAAUAAGCACCGGCUAACUACGUG